AGCAGCCGCGGUAAUUCCAGCUCCAAUAGCGUAUAUUAAAGUUGUUGCAGUUAAAAAGCUCGUAGUUGAAUUUCGGGAUCAAUACGUCGGUCGUGCUUCGGUACGUACUGGUGUCAUUGAUUUCUCCCUUCUGACGAACCAUGAUGUCAUUAACUUGGUGUCACGGGAAAUCAGGACUGUUACUUUGAAAAAUUAGAGUGUUUAAAGCAAGCUAACGCUUGAAUACAUUAGCAUGGAAUAAUGAAAUAGGACGUUCGAUCCUAUUUUGUUGGUUUCUAGGAUUGACGUAAUGAUUAAUAGGGAUAGUUGGGGGCAUUAGUAUUCAAUUGUCAGAGGUGAAAUUCUUGGAUUUAUUGAAGACUAACUACUGCGAAAGCAUUUGCCAAGGAUGUUUUCAUUAAUCAAGAACGAAAGUUAGGGGAUCGAAGACGAUCAGAUACCGUCGUAGUCUUAACCAUAAACUAU
rnacentral:rRNA from 1 species